UCAGCAGCCCAAUCUGGAAAACUAAUACAUACUUUGUGUCCUAGGUCUGCCAAUUUCAAGAACAAAAUUCUCAUUUGGUUUCAAUGGAUCCUUGUUUUCACUUCACUGUGAAAAGAAAGACUUCAAAGAACAUCACAUUAUUUGCAAACUUCAGCCUUUGGCAAUACUCACCCAUACAGCUGUGUGGCAUGGGAGACAGAAUUCACUGAGGAGGAGCAGAGUACACCCACAGACUGAAGCAUUCUUCAACAUCAAAUGAGUUUAUCAAAGUAAGCCCUGACUAUUUUGUUUCACUGAAAUUCUCAGUUUGUUUUGAUUUGUUUUGUUGUUGAUUUUGUGGUGUUUUUAUUAGUUUUCUUGGGUUUUGUUUGUUUCUUGCCUGAAGGUGCCUGCUUUAAAUACAUCAAGUUCCCAGUCAUUAUAUGGAUUACAAACAACUACUUUGUUCUAGGUUUCACAUUUAUUUCCUUAUUUUUCUUACAAACCAACACAUUCACCU
rnacentral:lncRNA from 1 species